UGGAUUAUAUUUAAUUAUAAUAUCUGAUUUGCAUUCAGAAGGUGCAAAAAUUGCUAAUCUAA
rnacentral:tRNA from 1 species